UUCUAAUUAUAUUUUUGAAAAUAAAAAUAUAUCAACUUAUUAAAUAAUUUGAAAAUAUACUUAUACAUCUAAGAUGAAAAACCAAACGAAUACAAUGAAUAUCACUAAUUUGAAGGAAUACAAGUAACACGAUUCACAUACAAAAUGAUUAAUUAUAUCAAUACAAAUUCUUAUAUCCAAAAUUAAAUGUUUAACUAAAAUUACAAUUUUUCAUCAAUUUAAACAAACUCGGUUAAAACUCUUCAAACCAAACUAGUAAUUAUGUAUCCAUAUGAACAACGUAAGACGACUCAUUUAUGGCACUAUGUGGAAGACUGUCCGCUCUUGUAUUCUUCAUUCGAGGAACAUGUAUGAUCUCCAGGUCACUAAAGCUCUCCUUCAGUGUUUUAUGUUUUCAAAAUACAUUGUAAAAGCAGGUUAUUCUUCUGGUUCUAAAACCAUCUUCACCAAUUUAAAAUAUAAUAUGUUACAAAGUCAUAUAAAACUGUGGAAGAUUCUUCAUACUUUCUAUUGCCCAUGUGAAAGCUUCUAAUUCCGAGUGUAAAGAUGAAAGGCCAGCCCUCGUUUUUCUUACUCCCAUGAGCCCCUCAAAACCCUCCAAAAUAUUAUACCAACCUUGUCCCAAAAAGUGUCAUUCUCCUUCGAUGAGCCAUCCGUAAAGCACCAUCGCCCUAAUAUGUGAGGUAAAGUUGUAUCCUCCAAUAUAUUUGGUUGUGUAUCUUGUUGUGAUACCUUUGUUUGGGACUUAGUUCCAAAAUGUUGAUUCUUUUUCUAUCAAGUGUUAAGGUAUCCCUUGAAGAGAAUAUUAUUACGUCCAUUCCAGAUGUACCAUAUAAUCCAUGUGAACCAUGAUUUUCCACCUCUGCUAUUCAUCAAAAAAAGUGAUCCACAUUAUUUAUAGUAGUGUAUUAUACAUAUAAAUUACAUUACGAUUCAACAAUAUGUAUUAAUAAAAAAUAUGUGAGAUUAACCAAUUGUUACAAUUUAGUUCUUUUUUAUAAGUUUCAUAUGUUCAUGAGGUUUCAAAAGAUUAUUGUUGUUAUAUUUAUCUAUGUAACUUUUAACUGGCCUACACAUUAGUUUAUUUUUACAAUUUGAUUCCUAAAACAAUAUAGAUUAAAUUUUUUAUUAAAUAUAUUUACAAACCUAAGAAAAUAAUCAAAUUAAAAUUAAAUAACAAAAUUAAUUAACUUUUUAGUCUAUGGAACAAAAAUAUUAUGCUUGAAUCGGAGAAUUAAAUGUUAUCUAAUAUAUCUGAAUAAUAACCAAGAGAUGAGAUAUUAUAUAGUAAAAUAACAUGUCUAUCUAAAAUAAAAAAAUGGUAUUUAAAAUAAAUCAGCCAUAUAAAUUAUAAAAUAAUUUAAAAUCAAAAUUAAAUAUUAACAAAUUAUUAUAAUGUAUUUACUUUGUAAAUAUUUAUAUCCUUCUAUGAGCACGGAAGAAUCAUCUAGUAAUGAAUAUAAAUUGUCUAAUAUAUUAAAAUAAUUGAUAGUUGAACUGCAGGCAUAGAGGUAGCCUAUAAUAUAUUUAAGACCUGGUACAUUUUUAUAUCUUUGCAUCUUUAUUUUAAUAAAAUCUAUCGGCCCUGCUGCUAUCACUUUCAUCUUAUGAUUUUUUUUUGUUUUGCUAACUUUCAUAUUAUAAUUUUCCACCGCCAUCCACUCCAUGUCCUAUUAAAAUAAUCUGGUAAAGAAAAGGAGAAAAUAACAAUUACCCUUUUAUCUUAAUAAAAAUGGCAGCAGCAGGAGGUUCUCUCUCCUCUCUCUAGAGAGAGAAUUCUCUCUAAAACUACUCCUUUCUUCACAAAACUAAAUCAUUUAGAAGGGUGGAAAAAUCGUUUUGUUUCUUUGCUGUAAUAUAGUUUCGAUCUUAGGAUCGAUGUUCUUUUCCGAAUAGCGGAUAUAAAAUUUCGCGUAGGCGAUUUUGUUUUGCUUUUCAAACCAAAUUAGGAUCUGUUCUUCAUGUUCUUCGAUUUUAUUUUCCUGUUUGGUUUGAAAUUUAAUAAAAUCCUGAUCAUCUUUUGAUCGGUUUUAUCUUUACUUUCCACUUCGUUUCAAUUCUAAUCCCGUUGAUUUCUAAGCAGACACCUUCUUCACUGUUCACUUCAAUCCCUUUCACAGAGAAUCUGUCUUCACAAGAAAGAUUAGCCUUAAUUGUCAAAGGUGAAGCAUCUCUUCUUGAAAAAAGGAUUGAGUUUGAUAUAUUCUGAAGUCGAUUAUGAGAUGGAUUCAGAAGAGUCGGCGUUACUUUGACGGUCCGGCAAAGGGUCUUCUCUCGAUCGAACUUUAGCUUUCUCCGGCGUAAAUUACCGUGGAUAAAAGGCUUCUCUGGUUUAAGCAAUCAAGGUUAAGGUGGAAGGUAUACCAAGGAGUACAAGGUUAAGUGGAGUUAAGGUCGUGGCAGAGUGAAGCUUACGGCGGAAUCAAGCUUGUCGUAGAUUAUUGGAAGAAGCAUCGCCGGUUGGUUUGCGUCUUCGCCGGAGGUGAGAAGAAGCUUGGUGUCCUCACUUUACUCAGAUGAAUGCCACGUAGCAAGCCUAAUCUACAUGAGUGACACGUUUAUGUUCUGAAUUGCAAUAUCUUUUGAUAAGAUAUCGGUUGUGUAGUUGGGCCAAGAUCAAUAUUUGUAACUUAGCCUUUGUACUUUUUUAGUCCAUGAGGCUUAUAAAACUUGAGUCGACAAAAAAAAAAUGGCAGCAGCAGCUUAACAGAUCAAGAUGCUCAUAAACCUACACACAUAUAUAUGUAUAUAUAUAUGCAUAUAUGAGCUGAUAUAUAAGGAGUGGUACAUGUUAAGACAAAAGCUAGAUGUAUAGGUGGAGAACCCAAUAUAUCUUUAUCUUUGUUUUUUUCCUUCCCAUUCAAACUUAACUUGCAGAUUUCUUAGUAUUUUUUAUCUUUCUCCCGUAUAUUACCCUUUUGUCUCUCUCUCAACUAUAUUCAAAACCAACUUUUAAUUUCUCUUACAAGAAGUUAAAACCCCAGAAGAAGAUAUGACGGAUGAAGUUCUUCAGACAGCCUCUAACGGAUCAGGAUUUGCUCCGAGGUCAUCAAAUCGGGAUCAUGAUGAAUCUCUCAUCAAUCCUCCUCCUGUUAAGAAGAAAAGAAAUCUGCCUGGAAAUCCUCGUAACUAUUUUAGUUUAUAAUAAAGUUUUUGUGAUCUAUAGAGUUCUUCCCUCAUCAGACGGGAGUCUUGGACCUUACGCUGUGUCCCCUCCCAUGAAAACCUGAUAGCAUCUCAAAUUGCAGAGAGUGUAGUUCGAGACAAUAGGCGCUCUUCAUAUGUGUCCUCCAACAGUCCGUCCUGGCUUUCAUCGCUCUUGACUAAAGAAGCUUCAGCCUGAGACAUCUAUCCUUCUUGCUACCUCGAUGAUCUGUUCAUCACGUUCCUCUCUUCUCACCUACUGGUGUUUGAUGGUUUUCAUUUAAUUUCCUCAGGUUGAUUAUUUCCCUGAUUUGUUAUGCUAUUGUUUUUCACUCCCCUCUCUUGAGUGUCGAACUUUGUCUACAAGUAAUUGAUUCAGUGGAAAAAAAAAGAGUUCUUCUCUUAUUUGGAAACUGUAUUUGGUUUCGAUGAGAAUAUAUUUACAAGUUCUUUA